CCAGUAGCUCAAAUAGGAAUCAGAAAACCAUGUUUAACUCUUUCUCUUAUUCUACCUUUAAUAAUCAGUUUCUGCUCCUAAAUUCUGAUUCUAGUUUGUGUUUUCUCCCUUUAGAACGUCUCAUUAUGUGAGACUAUCUGGAGUUCCACCAGGUCUGCCUCCAUGUAGGCUUUAAUGACCGGAUACAUGAAGCUAUUGCAAGACCUUUCCUACUGGCCUCUCAACUGGCCAUCAGUCCUUAUCUCCUACCCACCCAAUGUAGCAUCCACAUGAUUAAUCUGUGUAAAGAAAAUUAACCU
rnacentral:lncRNA from 1 species